rnacentral:rRNA from 1 species
AUGCACGCUGGCGGCGUGCCUAAUACAUGCAAGUCGCGCGAACAGAUGAGGAGCUUGCUCCUCUGACGUUAGCGGCGGACGGGUGAGUAACACGUGGAUAACCUACCUAUAAGACUGGGAUAACUUCGGGAAACCGGAGCUAAUACCGGAUAAUAUAUUGAACCGCAUGGUUCAAUAGUGAAAGACGGUUUUGCUGUCACUUAUAGAUGGAUCCGCGCCGCAUUAGCUAGUUGGUAAGGUAACGGCUUACCAAGGCAACGAUGCGUAGCCGACCUGAGAGGGUGAUCGGCAACACUGGAACUGAGACACGGUCCAGAGUCCUACGGGAGGCAGAAGUAGGGAAUCUUCCGCAAUGGGCGAAAGCCUGAAGGAGAAACGCAGCGUGAGUGAUGAAGGUCUUCGGAUCGUAAAACUCUGUUAUUAGGGAAGAACAAAUGUGUAAGUAACUAUGCACGUCUUGACGGUACCUAAUCAGAAAGACACGGCUAACUACGUG